rnacentral:rRNA from 1 species
AUACGGAGGGUGCAAGCGUUGUCCGGAUUUAUUGGGUUUAAAGGGUGUGUAGGCGGUGUAUUAAGUCAGUGGUGAAAGCCUGCGGCUCAACCGUAGAACUGCCAUUGAUACUGACACACUUGAGUAUGGACGAGGUAGGCGGAAUUUAUGGUGUAGCGGUGAAAUGCAUAGAUACCAUAAAGAACACCGAUAGCGAAGGCAGCUUACUAGGCCAUAACUGACGCUGAGGCGCGAAAGCGUGGGGAGCAAACAGGAUUAGAAACCCCGGUAGUCC